UGGCUCAGUGGUUAAGAGCACUGACUAUUCUUCCAGAGGUCCUGGGUUCAAUUCCCAG
rfam:Rattus norvegicus chromosome 3, whole genome shotgun sequence.